rnacentral:rRNA from 1 species
AUUGAACGCUGGCGGCAUGCUUUACACAUGCAAGUCGAACGGCAGCACGGGGGCGAACCCUCGGUGGCGAGUGGCGAACGGGUGAGUAACACAUCGGAACGUGUCCAGUUGUGGGGGAUAACCCAUCGAAAGGUGGGCUAAUACCGCAUGAGCUGGCAACAGGAAAGCGGGGGACCCGCAAGGGCCUUGUGCGAUUGGAGCGGCCGAUGUCCGAUUAGCUAGUUGGUGGGGAAAGGCCUACCAAGGCUUCGAUCGGUAGCUGGUCUGAGAGGAUGAUCAGCCACACUGGGACUGAGACACGGCCCAGACUCCUACGGGAGCAGCAGUGGGGAAUUUUGGACAAUGGGGGCAACCCUGAUCCAGCCAUGCCGCGUGAGUGAAGAAGGCCUGG